rnacentral:rRNA from 1 species
AUUGAACGCUGGCGGCAGGCUUAACACAUGCAAGUCGAGCGGGGGAAGGUAGCUUGCUACCGGACCUAGCGGCGGACGGGUGAGUAAUGCAUAGGAAUCUGCCUAUUAGUGGGGGACAACAUCUCGAAAGGGAUGCUAAUACCGCAUACGUCCUACGGGAGAAAGCAGGGGAUCUUCGGACCUUGCGCUAAUAGAUGAGCCUAAGUCGGAUUAGCUAGUUGGUGGGGUAAAGGCCUACCAAGGCGACGAUCUGUAGCGGGUCUGAGAGGAUGAUCCGCCACACUGGGACUGAGACACGGCCCAGACUCCUACGGGAGGCAGCAGUGGGGAAUAUUGGACAAUGGGGGGAACCCUGAUCCAGCCAUGCCGCGUGUGUGAAGAAGGCCUUAUGGUUGUAAAGCACUUUAAGUGAGGAGGAGGCUACUCUAGUUAAUACGUAGGGAUAGUGGACGUUACUCGCAGAAUAAGCACCGGCUAACUCUGUGCCAGCCGCCGCAGUAA